CGCGGGAUGGAGCAGUCUGGUAGCUCGUCGGACUCAUAACCCGAAGGUCGUGGGUUCAAAUCCUGCUCCCGCAA
rnacentral:tRNA from 1 species